CCUCAUCUGGGAGGGGAAAGGAAUUUGUUGAGGGCCAGGAUCUGAUCGGCAAGUUUUCUGUACACUUUUCUGAUGAAACCGGUGGAAAUGGCAGAGCUCCAUAGAUGGCUGUGGCUGCCAAGAAGGUGGUCAUUGAAGUAAAGGGCAUGCCAGCUGGGGGUGGUGCUGGGCCUAGAGCUGGACAUGGAGAUGGGAGUGGAGCUGGACAUGGAGAUGGGAGUGGUGCUGGGUCUGGGCCUUUAACUGGAGGUUGGGCUGAGGCUGGAGGUUGGGCUGCACCAGGACCUAUGUCUAAUUCCCUGGAGGAUGGAAAUAAUAUAUGCAUGUACACUGAGUAGACAAAACAUUAAGAACACCGGCUCCUUCCAUGGCAUAGACUAACCAGAUGAAUCCAGGUGAAAGCUAUGGUCCCUUAUUGAUGUCACUUGUUAAAUCAAUGUAGAUGAAGGGGAGGAGACCGGUUAAAGAAGGAUUUCUAAGCCUUGAGACUGUAGGAAGCAUUGGAGUCAACAUGAGCCAGCAUCCCUGUGGAACACUUUUGACACGUUGUCGAGUCAAAUCAAAAUCGUAUUUGUCACAUACGCCGAAUACAACAGGUGUAGACCUUACCGUGAAAUUGUCACGUUCAUCAUCGUGAGGAGACCAAGGCGCUGCGUGGUAAGCGUACAUCUUUUAAUGGAAGAACGAACACUAAACAAAACAAAUACAAAAAGAACCGUGAAGCUACAGUGCCUUGCGAAAGUAUUCGGCCCCCUUGAACUUUGCGACCUUUUGCCACAUUUCAGGCUUCAAACAUAAAGAUAUAAAACUGUAUUUUUUUGUGAAGAAUCAACAACAAGUGGGACACAAUCAUGAAGUGGAACGACAUUUAUUGGAUAUUUCAAACCUUUUUAACAAAUCAAAAACUGAAAAAUUGGGUGUGCAAAAUUAUUCAGCCCCCUUAAGUUAAUACUUUGUAGCGCCACCUUUUGCUGCGAUUACAGCUGUAAGUCGCUUGGGGUAUGUCUCUAUCAGUUUUGCACAUCGAGAGACUGAAUUUUUCUCCCAUUACUCCUUGCAAAACAGCUCGAGCUCAGUGAGGUUGGAUGGAGAGCAUUUGUGAACAG
ensembl:lncRNA